rnacentral:rRNA from 1 species
AAGGACGAACGCUGGCGGCGCGCCUAACACAUGCAAGCGAACGAGAGAUGAGGAGCUUGCUCUUCAAAUCGAGUGGCGAACGGGUGAGUAACGCGUGAGGAACCUGCCUCAAAGAGGGGGACAACAGUUGGAAAACGACUGCUAAUACCGCAUAAGCCCACGGCUCGGCAUCGAGCAGAGGGAAAAGGAGCAAUCCGCUUUGAGAUGGCCUCGCGUCCGAUUAGCUAGUUGGUGAGGUAAUGGCCCACCAAGGCGACGAUCGGUAGCCGGACUGAGAGGUUGAACGGCCACAUUGGGACUGAGACACGGCCCAGACUCCUACGGGAGGCAGCAGUGGGGAAUAUUGCACAAUGGGGGAAACCCUGAUGCAGCGACGCCACGUGGAGGAAGAAGGUCUUCGGAUUGUAAACUCCUGUUGUUGAGGAAGAUAAUGACGGUACUCAACAAGGAAGUGACGGCUAACUACGUG